CGAACGCUGGCGGCGUGCUUCACACAUGCAAGUCGAACGGAAAGGCCCUGCUUUUGUGGGGUGCUCGAGUGGCGAACGGGUGAGUAACACGUGAGUAACCUGCCCUUGACUUUGGGAUAACUUCCGGAAACUGGGGCUAAUACCGGAUAGGAGCUCCUGCUGCAUGGUGGGGGUUGGAAAGUUUCGGCGGUUGGGGAUGGACUCGCGGCUUAUCAGCUUGUUGGUGGGGUAGUGGCUUACCAAGGCUUUGACGGGUAGCCGGCCUGAGAGGGUGACCGGCCACAUUGGGACUGAGAGACGGCCCAGACUCCUACGGGAGGCAGCAGUGGGGAAUAUUGCACAAUGGGCGGAAGCCUGAUGCAGCAACGCCGCGUGCGGGAUGACGGCCUUCGGGUUGUAAACCGCUUUCGCCUGUGGCGAAGCGUGAGUGACGGUAAUGGGUAAAGAAGCACCGGCUAACUACGUG
rnacentral:rRNA from 1 species